GAUGAACGCUGGCGGCGUGCCUAAUACAUGCAAGUCGAGCGAACAGACGAGGAGCUUGCUCCUCUGACGUUAGCGGCGGACGGGUGAGUAACACGUGGAUAACCUACCUAUAAGACUGGGAUAACUUCGGGAAACCGGAGCUAAUACCGGAUAAUAUAUUGAACCGCAUGGUUCAAUAGUGAAAGACGGUUUUGCUGUCACUUAUAGAUGGAUCCGCGCCGCAUUAGCUAGUUGGUAAGGUAACGGCCUACCAAGGCGACGAUGCGUAGCCGACCUGAGAGGGUGAUCGGCCACACUGGAACUGAGACACGGUCCAGACUCCUACGGGAGGCAGCAGUAGGGAAUCUUCCGCAAUGGGCGAAAGCCUGACGGAGCAACGCCGCGUGAGUGAUGAAGGUCUUCGGAUCGUAAAACUCUGUUAUUAGGGAAGAACAAAUGUGUAAGUAACUAUGCACGUCUUGACGGUACCUAAUCAGAAAGCCACGGCUAACUACGUG
rnacentral:rRNA from 1 species